UUUUUCGGAAGGAAGCGGGAGUGACUUAGCGGCGGACGGGUGAGUAACGCGUGGGUAACCUGCCCCAUACCGGGGGAUAACGGUUAGAAAUGACCGCUAAUACCGCGUAAGCGCGCGAGGCCGCAUGGCCCCGGGCGAAAAACUCCGGUGGUAUGGGAUGGGCCCGCGUCUGAUUAGCUAGUUGGCGGGGUAAAGGCCCACCAAGGCGACGAUCAGUAGCCGACCUGAGAGGGUGGCCGGCCACAUUGGGACUGAGACACGGCCCAAACUCCUACGGAAGGCAGCAG
rnacentral:rRNA from 1 species